GACGAACGCUGGCGGCGUGCUUAACACAUGCAAGUCGAACGGAAAGGCCCUGCUUUUGUGGGGUGCUCGAGUGGCGAACGGGUGAGUAACACGUGAGUAACCUGCCCUUGACUUUGGGAUAACUUCAGGAAACUGGGGCUAAUACCGGAUAGGAGCUCCUGCUGCAUGGUGGGGGUUGGAAAGUUUCGGCGGUUGGGGAUGGACUCGCGGCUUAUCAGCUUGUUGGUGGGGUAGUGGCUUACCAAGGGUUUGACGGGUAGCCGGCCUGAGAGGGUGACCGGCCACAUUGGGACUGAGAUACGGCCCAGACUCCAACGGGAGGCAGCAGUGGGGAAUAUUGCCCAAUGGGCGGAAGCCUGAUGCAGCAACGCCGCGUGCGGGAUGACGGCCUUCGGGUUGUAAACCGCUUUCGCCUGUGACGAAGCGUGAGUGACGGUAAUGGGUAAAGAAGCACCGGCUAACUACGUG
rnacentral:rRNA from 1 species